rnacentral:lncRNA from 1 species
AUGUGCACAAGAUUCAUGAAGCAAAGUCGUCACAGAUGGGUGCUGGAAGCUGAGCCAACACUGGGCUACAAGGCGAGACACAGACAGCUGUGGCGGGUUCUGCUUUUAUCCACCAGACACGUGGUCCCUAUGUGGGCCGGAGGCAGUGAUGGCUUCGUCUCUGCCUGGGCACAGCUGACCACAGCAAAGGUCAGUCUUGGGGUAGGUGGCAUGCGUUGAAUAUGUGCAGACUAUGGAACAGGUUUUGUUUUUCCUGCCAGCAGAUGCUUUUUUGUGCUGUUGAAUUGCUCUGGUGGAGAGAGCCGAGGAGCAGGAGCACAUGGAAAAUGCAUGGCCAGGAUGUCAGCAAUUGCGUCACAGUUGCACUUUGCAAAGGGGUGAUCACUUUGAACAAUGCACACACAUUCACAUGACAAAUCAUUAAGACUCCAGGCUGAGGAAAUGGCAUGUGUGCUUUAUCAGAUGGCUCCCUUCCACCACAGCAUGCUAUGGACUGGAGCCCUUGACACCAACUAAACAAAUGUGGGGUGAGCUUUUAGAUUUUUAUGAGGCACUUCAGAUGUCCUUUAGAUAAUGAAGCAGUGGACUCCCCUCCAAAAAAAAAAAAGAGAUGAUUUACUCAUAUGUUUCUUGUAUCUGUCAAGAUGACUGUGGGCUUGAAGAUAGCUUGUGUCUGAAUGGGUGGGUAUUGAGAACAACAGGAGAUAUGUUAGUAAAAACUACCAAGAUUUUUAACUUGUUACAUGUGUAGUUUGAUCUGUGACAUCUGAACCUAGAAAAGGGUGACUCAGUAGUUCUUGACUUUGGCUGCAUAUUAGAAUUACCUGGGGAGCUUUGGAAAAUCCCAGUGCCUGGGCUGCACCCCACACCAAAAAACCCAGAAUUGGGGGCGGGGGGGGCAGUAUGUGUGUGUAGGACCCAGGUCUCAGUUCUUUGAAAAGUUUCCCGGGUGCUUCCCAUGUGCAGCUAAGGUUCUGAAUCACUGAUUUAAGACGAAAUUUCCUUACCUUUGCAAAAGGCACAUAGCGUUUCGGGGGAAACGGGAAUGCACUGCUGUCUCAUUUACAAAGGAAUGAAAAUGGAAGUCACCAUCUAGUGUGCCUGAUUUCCACUCUUGAUUAUCUACCUCUCUUCUAAGUUUUUUGUUCAAGUAUUGGAAAUCCUGCGCUUUAGUGCCUCUGUGGACCAGGAUGGUACCACAGAGAAGGGAAGGACCCCA